UGGGGAAUAUUGCACAAUGGGGGAAACCCUGAUGCAGCGACGCCGCUUGAGCGAAGAAGGCUUUCGAGUCGUAAAGCUCUGUCCUAUGAGAAGAUAAUGACGGUAUCAUAGGAGGAAGCCCUGGCUAAAUACGUGCCAGCAGCCGCGGUAAUACGUAUGGGGCGAGCGUUGUCCGGAAUUAUUGGGCGUAAAGGGUACGUAGGUGGUUUUUUAAGUCAGGUGUCAAAGCGUGGAGCUUAACUCCAUUAAGCACUUGAAACUGAAAGACUUGAGUGAAGGAGAGGAAAGUGGAAUUCCUAGUGUAGCGGUGAAAUGCGUAGAUAUUAGGAGGAAUACCGGUGGCGAAGGCGACUUUCUGGACUUUUACUGACGCUCAGGUACGAAAGCGUGGGGAGCAAACAGG
rnacentral:rRNA from 1 species